GUGCUCGCUUCGGCAGCGCAUGUACUAAAAUUAGAACGGUACAGGGAAGAUUAGCAGGGCCCCCGUGCAAGGAUGGCACGCAAAUUCCUGAAGGGUUCCAAAUAAAU
ensembl:snRNA U6 U6 spliceosomal RNA